UACUUUACUUUACUUGCUUUAACACUUGGUUUGGUUCUGUUUUGUUUUAUGUGAACUCAACACUCAACUUCCCUUUCUUUAUGGAGGUGAAAGUUGGCUGCUGCUAUCAAGUGUCAUUAUUCAAGCUAAUAAAGAUUGGGAAUUGGUUGGUGGCCAUGGAAAAGUCAUGAGGGUGUUGCAGAUUUUGUAAGCAGUAAGGAGUUCGUCGCAGGAGGGGGUCUUCUACCUUAUCCAAGUCUUCUUUAUAAGUAUACUAAUGUGGAAAUGAGCUCCCCUUCAUGCUGGGAAUUGGAUUGACUAAUGUGAAUAUGUUAGGAACCUAAUUAUGAGUUACCAUGGAAGAAUGAGAAAUAGAACAUUCAAAAUCCUUACAUGAAGGGAUAAAGUUUAAACCUCAAAGAAGAUAGUAAUUAUGAAUGGGCUCCAGGUAUGUAGGUUCAUCCAUUUGCAUUAUUAUUGCAAGUUAUGAACUUUGAUUUUGGUGGGGACAAUUGCAAGUUAUUGACUCCAAAAAGGACCACUCCUACUGGGCUCACGGGUAGAGCGUGCCGCAGAAUGUUUGUGUAAGGAGGAGCCGAAUCACAUAAAUGAGUUGUUGUUUGCUAUAACUAAUUUUAUAAUGCAUAGUUUACAUAAUUGAGAUUGGAUUAGGCUCUCUAAAUUGAGAGAGGUAAAGUUAGUUUCCAUAAUCGUUGAGAUUUAAAGAUCA